AGAGCCACAAGGAAUACACCUUCGUCAUCGACGUCCCCGGUCUGUCCAAGUCCGACAUCCAAGUACGUAUUCUUCUACUCGUCCGCCACGAUUUGAUCCAGCUGCGGGGUGGCGAUUUCUUUGACGACGCGCGUGGGUGCAGGUGACCCUGGAGGACGAGAAGAUUCUGGUGAUCAAGAGCAGCGGGAAGAGGAAGAGGGACGACGGGGAGGAGGAAGGGUGCCGGUACCUGCUGCUGGAGAGGAGCGCGCCCGUCAAGUUUUUGAGGAAAUUCCGGCUGCCGGAAGACGCCAGCUCCUCGGGCAUCACAGCCAAGUGCGAGAACGGCGUGCUCACCGUCGUCGUGGGGAAGAUUCCGCCGCCCGAGCCCAAGACGAG
rnacentral:lncRNA from 1 species